UACGAGGGGGGCUAGCGUUGCUCGGAAUUACUGGGCGUAAAGGGCGCGUAGGCGGAUAUUUAAGUCGGGGGUGAAAGCCCAGGGCUCAACCCUGGAAUAGCCUUCGAUACUGGAUAUCUUGAGUUCGGGAGAGGUGAGUGGAACUGCGAGUGUAGAGGUGAAAUUCGUAGAUAUUCGCAAGAACACCAGUGGCGAGGCGGCUUCCUGGCCUGCAACUGACGCUGAGACGCGAAAGCGUGGGGAGC
rnacentral:rRNA from 1 species